rnacentral:rRNA from 1 species
AGAGUUUGAUCCUGGCUCAGGAUGAACGCUGGCGGCGUGCCUAACACAUGCAAGUCGAACGAAGCACCUUACCUGAUUCUUCGGAUGAAGGUCUGGUGACUGAGUGGCGGACGGGUGAGUAACGCGUGGGUAACCUGCCCUGUACAGGGGGAUAACAGCUGGAAACGGCUGCUAAUACCGCAUAAGCGCACGAGGAGACAUCUCCUAGUGUGAAAAACUCCGGUGGUACAGGAUGGGCCCGCGUCUGAUUAGCUGGUUGGCAGGGUAACGGCCUACCAAGGCAACGAUCAGUAGCCGGUCUGAGAGGAUGAACGGCCACAUUGGAACUGAGACACGGUCCAAACUCCUACGGGAGGCAGCAGUGGGGAAUAUUGCACAAUGGGGGAAACCCUGAUGCAGCAACGCCGCGUGAGUGAAGAAGUAUUUCGGUAUGUAAAGCUCUAUCAGCAGGGAAGAUAAUGACGGUACCUGACUAAGAAGCUCCGGCUAAAUACGUGCCAGCAGCCGCGGUAAUACGUAUGGAGCAAGCGUUAUCCGGAUUUACUGGGUGUAAAGGGUGCGUAGGUGGCAGUGCAAGUCAGAUGUGAAAGGCCGGGGCUCAACCCCGGAGCUGCAUUUGAAACUGCUCGGCUAGAGUACAGGAGAGGCAGGCGGAAUUCCUAGUGUAGCGGUGAAAUGCGUAGAUACUAGGAGGAACACCAGUGGCGAAAGCGGCCUGCUGGACUGUUACUGACACUGAGGCACGAAAGCGUGGGGAGCAAACAGGAUUAGAUACCCUGGUAGU